rnacentral:rRNA from 1 species
GUGAACGCUGGCGGUAGGCCUAACACAUGCCAGUCGAACGGCAGCACAGUAAGAGCUUGCUCUUACGGGUGGCGAGUGGCGGACGGGUGAGGAAUACAUCGGAAUCUACUUUUUCGUGGGGGAUAACGUAGGGAAACUUACGCUAAUACCGCAUACGACCUACGGGUGAAAGCAGGGGAUCUUCGGACCUUGCGCGAUUGAAUGAGCCGAUGUCGGAUUAGCUAGUUGGCGGGGUAAAGGCCCACCAAGGCGACGAUCCGUAGCUGGUCUGAGAGGAUGAUCAGCCACACUGGAACUGAGACAAGGUCCAGACUCCUACGGGAGGCAGCAGUGGGGAAUAUUGGACAAUGGGCGCAAGCCUGAUCCAGCCAUACCGCGUGGGUGAAGAAGGCCUUCGGGUUGUAAAGCCCUUUUGUUGGGAAAGAAAAGCAGCAGGUUAAUACCCCGCUGUUCUGACGGUACCCAAAGAAUAAGCACCGGCUAACUUCGUG